rnacentral:rRNA from 1 species
CGAUGACGGUGGUGCUUGCACCGCCUGAUUAGUGGCGAACGGGUGAGUAACACGUGAGUAACCUGCCCUCCACUUCGGGAUAACCUCGGGAAAUCGUGGCUAAUACCGGAUAUGAGCACUCAUCGCAUGGUGGGUGUUGGAAAGAUUUAUCGGUGGGGGAUGGACUCGCGGCCUAUCAGUUUGUUGGUGAGGUGAUGGCUCACCAAGACGAUGACGGGUAGCCGGCCUGAGAGGGCGACCGGCCACACUGGGACUGAGACACGGCCCAGACUCCUACGGGAGGCAGCAGUGGGGAAUAUUGCACAAUGGGCGAAAGCCUGAUGCAGCGACGCCGCGUGGGGGAUGACGGCCUUCGGGUUGUAAACCCCUUUCAGUAGGGAAGAAGCGAGAGUGACGGUACCUGCAGAAGAAGCGCCGGCUAACUACGUGCCAGCAGCCGCGGUAAUACGUAGGGCGCAAGCGUUGUCCGGAAUUAUUGGGCGUAAAGAGCUUGUAGGUGGCUUGUCGCGUCUGCCGUGAAAACCCGAGGCUCAACCUCGGGCGUGCGGUGGGUACGGGCAGGCUAGAGUGUGGUAGGGGAGACUGGAACUCCUGGUGUAGCGGUGAAAUGCGCAGAUAUCAGGAAGAACACCGAUGGCGAAGGCAGGUCUCUGGGCCAUUACUGACACUGAGAAGCGAAAGCAUGGGUAGCGAACAGGAUUAGAUACCCUGGUAGUCCAUGCCGUAAACGUUGGGCACUAGGUGUGGGGGACAUUCCACGUUUUCCGCGCCGUAGCUAACGCAUUAAGUG